GAUGAACGCUGGCGGCGUGCCUAAUACAUGCAAGUCGAGCGAACGGACGAGAAGCUUGCUUCUCUGAUGUUAGCGGCGGACGGGUGAGUAACACGUGGAUAACCUCCCUAUAAGACUGGGAUAACUUCGGGAAACCGUAGCUAAUACCGGAUAAUAUUUUGAACCGCAUGGUUCAAAAGUGAAAGACGGUCUUGCUGGCACUUAUAGAUGGAUCCGCGCUGCAUUAGCUAGUUGGUAAGGUAACGGCUUACCAAGGCAACUAUGCAUAGCCGACCUGAGAGGGUGAUCGGCCACACUGGAACUGGGACACGGUCCAUACGCCUACGGGAGGCAGCAGUAGGGAAUCUUCCGCAAUGGGCGAAAGCCUGGCGGAGCAACGCCGCGUGAGUGAUGAAGGUCUUCGGAUCGUAAAACUCUGUUAUUAGGGAAGAACAUAUGUGUAAGUAACUGUGCACAUCUUGACGGUACCUAAUCAGAAAGCCACGGCUAACUACGUG
rnacentral:rRNA from 1 species